GGAUGAGUUAAAUGAACUGGAAGCUAGCCUUUCAAAAACAUCGUUACAAAUCAAUGAACCUGGUAGUCGCGCUUGAUCCUUGGGCCCAAAAUCUAUGCACAUGGUAUACACUUAUCAGUGCAUGCACUUUCAUGUCUACGUGAUGCAAAAUCAUGUUGGCGUGCAGCAGCAGAUAAAAUGGAAUGAAAUGUAAGCAUAUCCCUGUCGUGACGCCUUAAUAAUUGAUCCUCUAUUUUAUUAGGUUUUUACCCUUAUUUCUAAUGAGUUGUGACUUCUUUCUUUCCAGAAUUUUUGAUGAAUUUAACUUGUCUGGUUGUUUUGCUGUCACAUAAGAGAGCUAUCCUUUGUAUUUUACUACUACUACUAUGCUUUGAAGUGUGUUGCCUUCUCAUUGCCCUUU
rnacentral:misc_RNA from 1 species